UUUCUGAAAAAAACUUUGAAAAAUGUAUAAUAAUUUGGAGGCCCCCUUGCAUUGACUCUAAGGACCCCCUAGGGGACCCCCUGUUGAAGAUCCCUGAUCUAAUGGAUUGACUAAAUAUAGAGCGGGCCAGUAUUGCCUCCACUGCUGGUUACUGUUAGGCAAUCGCAUUUUUAAAAGGCAGCAAACAGCCUCACCUUUAUCCACACACUGUGUCCACCUGUUGUCGAAUCCAAAAUGUAUCCACACAUUAUUCUCAGGUGGUUUGGUGACAGGAUCAUCUGUUCGACAUGUUUUAAUUGUUUUCAUUUAGCUCAUGGUGUGUGUGAAUGCAUGUUUUUAAAACCCCAUGAUUGCGAAGCGACUGUCCUCAAAGCUAAAAGAUGCCUUAUUUCUGUUGGUUUUUACAGAGGGUGAUAACUUGUUCUGAAUGUUUCUCGUAACCACUGGUAACCGCUCUCCAUACACUACUUGACAGACACGUACUUCUACAGUACAUUCUUGCCCAGGUUUGGUUUUCAUUAGCUGUACAUAGCAUGGUUCAUAUUUUAUAUCGAUGAUGUGCAAUUCUCAUGAAGGGAAAGUUACUGAAACUCAGCAUUUUUUUUUUUCUAUCGUGAUCUGGGUAAAACAAAACUAAAGGUUUGAAAUGUUUUUGUGGAUAUUUAUGAAGUGUAAUUUGAUUUGUCUUGCCAUGAGUUUAACAUUUGUGGUCAAAACUAAACAAAGAGUGAUGUAGGGAAUGUUUGCUUCUCUCGCCCUUAAAUCUAAAACACUUGAAUUUUCUGCGUCACUCUCAAAUCAAGCGCACCCUUUGUCAAACACCUAAAAACAUGUCAAACUGUAACAGUUUUUUGUCCAGGUGUGUGUAAGUUAACUAUCAGGGUAAUGUCUUGCUUGUUUGACUCUGUUGAAAAAUGCAGUUGAUCUGGUUUUUUUUUGUCUGUUGUUAUCAAUGUUGCUCAACAGGGUGCGCUUAAGUCCAACAAAAAAACGGCUCUCGCCAACUGUUAGCUGAAACCAAACAAGCGCACCCCGUUUUGCUGUUUUACUUGACAGCGCAAAGGAAUGUGUGUACAAACAAAGAGGGGCCUGAAAUUAACACUUCGCCAACAGCCAACAAUCACUUCUGCUCCCCAGUCUGACAAUUCAGAAACCUAGGACUUAAUUGACUUCUACGGGCGAACAAAAGUUAUUAAAUUUCUCCUAUCGAGCUACAGUGGCUCGUAGUUGUCGCAAAACCAUAUUAUCUUCAUUUCGAAAAAGUAGUUAGCUAAUCCAACAAAAACAUCAACCAAAGAAGUAAUAUACCACUAUUUGAAAUACUGUUUUCAAUAUUAAACCAGUAAAGCUCCAUAUCUCAGGUCAAUAAAGGAUCAUUUAGUCCAGAGCUAGUCUUCAAAUUUGUGCACACUUUGGCUCCUAGGAAUAUCUCCGGCUGGUAAAACUGGAUUUGUUGGCUGGUUGGCCAGGGAAAAAAGUUAUUUCACUCCCUGCAAACCAAACCAACAAAGAGUUUAAUAUCAUGUGGCUUCAUGAUGAAAAAGUUUACAACCAAGUGAUGUUUUAUUUAUCGUUACUAUCUUGAAAACCAUGACCUGUGUAUUAUUCCUAAUGACAUGCUGCUCUGGCUCGUUCAACUGGAAAUAAAAACUGAUGUCUUUUAAACUUCA